UACGGGGGGAGCAAGCGUUGUUCGGAUUUACUGGGCGUAAAGGGCGCGUAGGCGGCCAGCGCAAGUCAGUUGUGAAAUCUCCGGGCUUAACUCGGAACGGUCAACAGAUACUGCGCGGCUAGAGUGCAGAAGGGGCAACUGGAAUUCUCGGUGUAGCGGUGAAAUGCGUAGAUAUCGAGAGGAACACCUGCGGCGAAGGCGGGUUGCUGGGCUGACACUGACGCUGAUGCGCGAAAGCCAGGGGAGCGAACGGG
rnacentral:rRNA from 1 species